CUCUCUUUUGCUCUCAUCUCUGUUUUAUCUUUCCUUUUUUGCUCUCACCUCUGCUUUGAUUUUUUACUCUCUUGCUCUCUCCUCUGUUUUCAUUCUUGCUCACGCUUAUUCUCCCCUAUCGUCGGCUCUCAGCGAACACAGAAGAAGAAUACCGACAGUCACUAGCUCUGACGAGCACAGAAAAAUCCAGACAAUUGUUGGCUCUCAUCAGUUAGUGAACAUAGAAAACGAAUAUGGUCUAUAUUUUAUGGUCUCCAAAGUAGAGUUGUUGCUUGGG
rnacentral:lncRNA from 1 species